rnacentral:rRNA from 1 species
GACGAACGCUGGCGGCAUGCCUAAUACAUGCAAGUCGAGCGAACAGAUGAAGUGCUUGCACUUCUGACGUUAGCGGCGAACGGGUGAGUAACACGUAAGGAAUCUACCUAUAAGCGGGGGAUAACAUUCGGAAACGGGUGCUAAUACCGCAUAAUAUCUUCUUCCGCAUGGAAGAAGAUUGAAAGACGGCUCUGCUGUCACUUAUAGAUGACCUUGCGGUGCAUUAGUUAGUUGGUGGGGUAAUGGCCUACCAAGAAGAUGAUGCAUAGCCGACCUGAGAGGGUGAUCUGCCACAUUGGGACGUAGACACGGCCCAAACUCCUCCGGGAGGCAGCAGUAGGGAAUCUUCCGCAAUGGGCGAAAGCCUGACGGAGCAAUGCCGCGUGAGUGAAGAAGGCCUUCGGGUCGUAAAACUCUGUUAUAAGAGAAGAACAAAUUGUAGAGUAACUGCUACAGUCUUGACGGUAUCUUAUCAGAAAGCCACGGCUAACUACGUGCCAGCCGCCGCGGUAA